CAUUUCAAGUUCAGAACUAUUAAGGAGGGUGCUGAUUUCAACAUUCUCAGUUAUUCAGUGGAAUAUUAUUCAGCCUUAAAAAAGGAAGGAAAUCCUGCCUUCUGCAACGACACAGACAAACCUGGAGAACAUUCAGUGAGAUGAGAAAAGUGAGGCCCAGAGAGUGCAAAUGCGCUGCCCAAAUCCGUAUACCCAGUAAACAGCAGAGCCAGGACUCAGUGCCACAACUUCAAAGCCCAACACUCUGUCCAGCUGCAAAUUUUGUUUCCAAUCAGACCCAGAAAACCAAGGGCAAUUGCACAAGAUCGUUUGUAGUAAACCUGUUAUUUAAGAGGAACGAAGACUGAGCCUCAGGGUCUAGGAGUAACUUAUAGGGGCUUCUUGUACUUAUGGAUAGAAAAUACAUGGAUAAAUAGAGAUAUUAAAGGAAGGGAUGCCCUACCCUCCCGAAAGAAAUAAAAAUGUGAUCACUCUCGGCACCGUAGUCUCUGAUGAGAACAUUUAAUCAAUUAGCAUUGCCGUUGCCAAAACUUGCUUCCCACCGAGCCCAAAAGCCGCCGGCGGCACAUCCCAGCGGCCUCCCUCCUCCCGGGCUGGGAUUCGCCUCUGCAAGAAACGUCAUGUUUUCUCUCCCAGACAUCGUUCCGGGAGCCCCAGAUGUAAAAUCAGAGGUCUCUUAUCUGGCAUUAUUGAUCUCUGUGCUAAUAAAAUGUCAGUCCCCAAGGGAAAACUUAAAAAAAGAAUCGUGCUGUCAUCUCUGUUCCUGCGGGGACAGGCACCCAUUUGUCGGCUCACUUCAUUGCUCCGUCGGCCGGGCUACUAUUUCAGGGCUCCCUGGAAGAGUAAGUCCCUGAAAUGGGCAGGGACACGCUUUCUAUUUCCCCUUUCACAGGGGCUCUCUGGAAUUCAAGGAUGAACGAAU
rnacentral:lncRNA from 1 species